GAUUAGCUUGUUGGUGAGGUAACGGCUCACCAAGGCGACGAUCCCUAGCUGGUCUGAGAGGAUGACCAGCCACACUGGAACUGAGACACGGUCCAGACUCCUACGGGAGGCAGCAGUGGGGAAUAUUGCACAAUGGGCGCAAGCCUGAUGCAGCCAUGCCGCGUGUAUGAAGAAGGCCUUCGGGUUGUAAAGUACUUUCAGCGGGGAGG
rnacentral:rRNA from 2 species